AAGGUGCAAAGUCCUGGAAAAGGAAGAGCCAUGAGGGACUUCUUUUAGCUCAUCAACCAAGAUCCACAAUUCUGUGUAGCAUAAUUUGGUCAGAGAUGUGUUGUCUCGGGCAGACUAUUGUCAUCCUCUACCGACACUGUUGGAAGCUACUGAUAUGGACUACAAAGAAUCCAGGAGUCCUGAAACCAAGUCAUUUGGAAUUCCACAGAGCAGCCUAGAGCCCCUAAAAGCGAUCAUCCAGUACAGACUGCCAAUGAAGAAGAACAACAACUUGUACUCUUGGGAUGAUUUCAUGGAACUUGGCAGAAGCAUCCCUGACACCCAACUGGAGCAGGUCAUCGAGAGCCAGAAGGCGAAUCAAUGCGCAGUGCUCAUCUACACUUCAGGGACCACAGGCAUACCCAAGGGAGUGAUGCUCAGUCAUGACAACAUCACGUGGAUUGCAGGAGCAGUGACAAAGGACUUUCAACUGACAGACAAGCAUGAGACGGUGGUUAGCUACCUCCCACUCAGCCACAUUGCAGCACAGAUGAUGGACAUCUGGGUACCCAUAAAGAUUGGGGCGCUCAC
rnacentral:sRNA from 1 species